GCCACGGUGGUGUAGUGUUAGCACGCGUCUCUGGUAUGGGCGAAGCGCGCGUUCAACUUCCGUCUGUGGUCA